rnacentral:rRNA from 1 species
GGGGAAUAUUGCACAAUGGGGGAAACCCUGAUGCAGCGACGCCGCGUGGAGGAAGAAGGUCUUCGGAUUGUAAACUCCUGUUGUUGAGGAAGAUAAUGACGGUACUCAACAAGGAAGUGACGGCUAACUACGUGCCAGCAGCCGCGGUAAAACGUAGGUCACAAGCGUUGUCCGGAAUUACUGGGUGUAAAGGGAGCGCAGGCGGGAAGACAAGUUGGAAGUGAAAACCAUGGGCUCAACCCAUGAAUUGCUUUCAAAACUGUUUUUCUUGAGUAGUGCAGAGGUAGAUGGAAUUCCCGGUGUAGCGGUGGAAUGCGUAGAUAUCGGGAGGAACACCAGUGGCGAAGGCGGUCUACUGGGCACCAACUGACGCUGAGGCUCGAAAGCAUGGGUAGCAAACAGGAUUAGAUACCCUGGUAGUCCAUGCCGUAAACGAUGAUUACUAGGUGUUGGGGGAUUGACCCCCUCAGUGCCGCAGUUAACACAAUAAGUAAUCCACCUGGGGAGUACGACCGCAAGGUUGAAACUCAAAGGAAUUGACGGGGGCCCGCACAAGCAGUGGAGUAUGUGGUUUAAUUCGAAGCAACGCGAAGAACCUUACCAGGUCUUGACAUCCGAUGCAUAGCACAGAGAUGUGUGAAAUCCUUCGGGACAUCGAGACAGGUGGUGCAUGGUUGUCGUCAGCUCGUGUCGUGAGAUGUUGGGUUAAGUCCCGCAACGAGCGCAACCCUUAUUGCCAGUUACUACGUUAAGAGGACUCUGGCGAGACUGCCGUUGACAAAACGGAGGAAGGUGGGGAUGACGUCAAAUCAUCAUGCCCUUUAUGACCUGGGCUACACACGUACUACAAUGGCGUUAAACAAAGAGAAGCAAGACCGCGAGGUGGAGCAAAACUCAAAAACAACGUCUCAGUUCAGAUUGCAGGCUGCAACUCGCCUGCAUGAAGUCGGAAUUGCUAGUAAUCGCGGAUCAGCAUGCCGCGGUGAAUACGUUCCCG